CUACGGGGCGCUGCAGUGGGGAAUAUUGCACAAUGGGCGCAAGCCUGAUGCAGCCAUGCCGCGUGUAUGAAGAAGGCCUUCGGGUUGUAAAGUACUUUCAGCGGGGAGGAAGGGAGUAAAGUUAAUACCUUUGCUCAUUGACGUUACCCGCAGAAGAAGCACCGGCUAACUCCGUGCCAGCAGCCGCGGUAAUACGGAGGGUGCAAGCGUUAAUCGGAAUUACUGGGCGUAAAGCGCACGCAGGCGGUUUGUUAAGUCAGAUGUGAAAUCCCCGGGCUCAACCUGGGAACUGCAUCUGAUACUGGAAAGCUUGAGUCUGGUAGAGGGGGGGAGAAUUCCAGGUGUAGCGGUGAAAUGCGUAGAGAUCUGGAGGAAUACCGGUGGCGAAGGCGGCCCCCCGGACGAAGACUGACGCUCAGGUGCGAAAGCGUGGGGAGCAAACAGGAUUAGAUACCCCGGUAGUC
rnacentral:rRNA from 1 species